AAAAAGAUACUUUAAGUGUCUUAAAAACAGAAGAUAUUGGCCAUUUUACCUUUACCGUGGUGGAGUCCACCUCUGCUGUGGACCACAAAUAGCCCUGUACAAAGAGGAAUGGAAAUUGCUUCUAUCCACCUAGAUUCAUAAGCUGCCUUGAGGUAAUCUUGGCAUCAAGGAAGAGAGAGCAUUGAGGCACAUCUUACCAUCAGCUUCAGAGGAUGGCAGCCAUUGAUUUGUCCCAUGUUUUUUUUUUUUUUUCCCCCCAGGGAACCAAUCUGCAGUUUUGAAGAAAAGACAAAGGUAGAAAGGGUGGUGGUGGGCUACCUGGCAAAUGGUUAAGAGGCUUCAGUGACCUUUGAUGAUGUGGCUGUGGAGUUCACCCCAGAGGAGUGGGCUUUACUGGACACAACUCAGAAAUACCUGUACAGAGAUUCAAUGCUGGAGAGCUACAAGAACCUGGUCUCUGUGGGCUGUCAGCUGUUUAUACCUAGCCUGACCUCUUGGUUAAAACAAGAAGAAUGCAAUACACUACAGAGUGGAGUUCUUCAACAAUGGGAAAUACAACCCACAACCAAAGGGUCAUCACUUCAGCAGAGUUUUCUGAAGAAUGAAAUAUUCAAUGGGCUACAAAUGUAAAGAAGCUACAGGUUAGGGGAACUCUGUGACUGCAAGAAUUGUGGAGAGGUCUUUAGUGAAUGGUUUUUCCUUAAGACACACAUGAGAGCUCAGAAUGGAGGGAACACUUCUGAGUAUAAUUGUUAUAGAAAAGAUGUCCUCACUGUGUACAAGAAAGCCUCUACUGGACAGGAACUUUCCAGAUUUAAUCCAUGUGGAAAAGUCUUCACCCAAACCCCAGGCCUUGCUGUGCAUCUUCAAAUUCUCAAUGCGAGAAAACCCUACAAAUGUAAGGAAUCUGGAAAAGGCUUUAAGUAUUUUGCAAGACUUGAUAAUCAAAUGGGAAUCCACCCUGGAGAGAAACUCUGCGAAUUUCAGGAAUGUGGGGGAGCCAUCACAGCUUCCUCACACCUAAAGCAGUGUGUAACAGUUCAUACUGGAAAGAAAUCCAAAAAGACUAAGAAAUGUGGGAAAUCCUUCACUAAUUUUUCUCAACUUUCUGCACAUGUGAAAACUCAUAAAGGAGAGAAGUCCUUUGAAUGUAAAGAAUGUGGAAAAUCCUUUAGAAAUUCCUCACUUCUUAAUGAUCACAUUCAAAUUCACAUUGAAAUAAAACCACACAGAUGUAUGGAAUGUGGGAAAGCCUUCACUAGAUCAAUUCACCUUACUCAACAUGUAAGAACUCACACUGGAAUAAAACUCUAUGAAUGUAAGGAAUGUAGGCAAGCCUUCACGCAGUACACGGGCCUUGCUAUACACAUACGAAAUCACUGUGGAGAGAAACCCUAUCAGUGUAAGGAAUGUGGGAAAGCCUUCAAUAGAUCCUCAACACUUACUGAACAUAGAAGAAUUCACACAGGAGAGAAGCCUUAUAAAUGUGUUAAAUGUGGAAAAACCUUCAUUACUUCUUCCUAUUGUAGGAAAUAUUUGAGACUGCAUAGUGGAGAAAAGCCCUUUGUAUGCAAAAUAUGUGAGAAAGCAUUUAUGUUUUCCUCAGGGCUUAAUGUUCACCUGCGAAUUCAUACUGAAGAGAAAGUCUUCAUUACUAUGUAAAGAAUGUGGGAAAGCAUUUGCUGUUUCCUCACACCUAAGUACACAUGAAAGAAUUCACACUGGGGAGAAACCUUAUGAAUACUGGGUAUGAGUGUUACCAUUUAGCCCAUCGGUUGCCAUCUUUAAUUAUUGGCAAUGACACAAGAGGUCAUCAGAUUUGUCCUAAAUGCCUUGAGGAGGUUGUAAUAGCUCAUGGAUUGGCCUUAGAUGCCAUCCCAAGGGUCUGGAAUUAAACCUACGUGUUCUGAAUACAGCUUCUUCAUGGUU